rnacentral:tRNA from 1 species
GCCUGGGUGGCUCAGUCGGUUAAGCGUCCGACUUUGGCUCUGGUCAUGAUCUCACGGUCUGUGAGUUCGAGCCCCACUUCGGGCU